CACUGUGUGCGCUGCAGACCAAAGGCGCUCGGAUGCUGUCUCUGUGUCGUCUUGCAGACAAAAGCCAGACGGAGAAAAAGAGCCGCUGCAGACGACUACCACGGGGAGUUAUUCUCUCUGUCAAACAUGUUUGCUGUGGACUUGCUUGUUUGUUUAUUGGUGGCUUGUCCCGUUUGGAAUCUGAGAGCUGAUCCAGUGCUUACAGUCAACCCUGCAACAAAGUGGGAGAAGUGCUCAGGUUUCGUCUGUUUGACUCUUUGUCUGGAAAUCACAGCUGCCUUUUCCUUCUGGCUGUCGCUCUGUCUAUCACUCCGGAUGAAUGGGGAUCCCCAGGCCUCACCUCAGCUCCUGCAGGAGAGAGGGUAGUGGGGAGUCUGGAGUGGGGGAGGAGGGCCUCGCCAAGCUCCUGGACCGCCAAAGACAGAUGAGUCACAUGGUCUUCAUCCAUGAUGCCAUCCACUUCAGCUCCGCCCCACCUCUGUGCAAAUCCCUUAAGUCAUACUUCAACAACCAAGUAAUACUGAUUGGAAAUUACA